rnacentral:lncRNA from 1 species
AGGUAAGCAACUCCAUGUUCUUCUAUUGGUCGCAUUCAUGGCUCUUCGAUCUUCUUGGCUCAAAGAAAAAUUUAAUAUCUCAUAGACUGGUUACAACGACUCAAGAUUUUUCUUUGUGAACAAAUUACAGCUCUUUCUUACUCUGUUAACAGGAGGGCACACUCUUGGAUUCUCUCAUUGUUCUUCCUUCCAAAAUAGAAUCCACAAUUUCGACAAUCUUAACGACAUUGAUCCAACACUACAAACAUCAUUUGCAGCCAGUCUUCAGAAUGUUUGCCCCAUGCACAACAAGGUCAGAAAUGCAGGUGCCACUAUGGAUUCUACUACAAAUUUAUUCGACAACGCAGUCACGACAUUGAUCCAACUCUACAAACGUCAUUUGCAUCUAGUCUGCAGAAUGUUUGCCCCAUGCACAACAAGGUCAGAAAUGCAGGUGCCACUAUGGAUUCUACUACAACUUUAUUCGACAACGCCUACUAUAAGCUUCUACUGAAUGGCAAGAGCCUUUUCUCUUCUGAUGAAUCUUUGCUCGCUACAACAAGGACCAAAAAACUAGUUUCAAAGUAUGCUGGCUCACAGGAUGAGUUCUUUAAAGCAUUUGCCAAUUCUAUGAUCAAGAUG